GCUUACGGCCAUACCACCCUGUCUGCGCCUGAUCUAGUCUGAUCUCGGAAACUAAGCAGAGUCGGGCCUGGUUAGUA
rnacentral:rRNA from 1 species